rnacentral:lncRNA from 1 species
GUCACACUCCAUCGACAGUAAAAAAAAGAAAGGAAAACGCGUGGUUGAAGACACACAUAAGUCAAAAAAGCCUUAUUACCAUACCUUGUAUUUCAAAUUACCUUGCUACAAUGUUUAUUUAUCAUCAUAAGUUGAUACACAAUGUACAUUUGAAACACCAGAGGAAACAGAAGCACGUUCGCUCAAGAAGUUCGACUUUGGAAUUGUUGUUAACCAAUCCAGUUAAUAAACCAAUGGGAAAUGUGGAGCAUUAUAUUGGCUAAAGAAUCUUCUCAUAUCUUUCCUUCGAUAAAAGGCAUUCAUUCAAAAGACUCCAAGAUUCAACUUCACACAUUGACAUUACUUCAAGUGGAAUCGACGCGUUAAUCUAGUUAGAAUUAAUAUGAGCACAUGUAAGGGAAAAUAUUAACCUUUAAUUUGCCUGAUUAACAAUUUCAGACUCUCUCCGAUAAUAUGAAUUUGUCAAUUAUUUGGUUCAUAUUAUCAGACACUGGUUAUUUCGCAAAAGUAUGACAAAAAUGCAACAAAUAAAUGAAACACUUUUGUCAAAAUCUUACUGAAAUAAAAUAUGGCAAGGUUGAAAUAUAGAAAUGUUGAAUUU